GCGGUUGUGGUGAAGUGGUUAACACACUGGAUCGUGGUUCCAGUAUACGUAGGUUCGACUCCUACCAGCCGCCCUA
rnacentral:tRNA from 1 species